GGAGAGGUGGCAGAGAGGUCGAAUGCGGCUGACUCGAAAUCAGUUAUCCGUGCAAGCGGAUCGGGGGUUCGAAUCCCUCCCUCUCCGCCA
rnacentral:tRNA from 1 species